AAUGCGUGCCCUCGAGGUCUAUCCAUGUUGUCAAAAAUGCUGCUGACGCGGGGCCUUCCCGCCCCCACCGCCAGGCCUCCUAACAGUAGAGCUGCCUUUGGACGUCCCACCGUUGGAAAUCAGCAGAAGGUUGCUGGCAGGCUCAGGUCAGGAGGUCCUACCUGCUCUGGGAGACACACGGGAGUCUGUUGGCUUAAACGUUCUGGAAAUUCAUCUGUGUGACCCAAUAGCCCCGGCUCUCGGGGUUACUGCUGCUGGAGUCCUUCCGCUUGUUCCAACCAAAGCUGGUGUUGAAGGUCAAGGACAAUGAUAGCUCUUCUUGUGCUAAAGCAUUGGAGGGUGCAGCUGUUAUGGACCCAGUUCCCCAAGACCAUUCAAAAAUUACAGACAAAACGAAGAGAAGAAAGAGAUUCCGAUGAAUGCCAUCAACCUCAUGAGGGGCCUGGGGCACCAGGAUUUGCCUCACUAGAAGACCCGGAGCUGCAUUUCCGCGGGAGAAAGGAGCUGGAGCAAAAUGGUAGACAUGGACAAUAGCAACACAGCAACACAACACUUUCAUUAUGUCUGUUCCUGGUUUCAUUGGGGAGCAGGAGCAGAAAAGCAACUCAACUUCAGCUGACCUUGGUCGGGUCACAGUGCACCUUUGAGCAGGGAGUCCUGCUCACUGGUGGCCCUCACUUUUCUUGGCUUCCAUUGCUCACUGUGGGCACCCAAUGGAAGCCCUUUGCAAGGAUUGCAAACAAGCCAAAGCUACACGGUGGCCCUGGAUCUCUUUUGGAGGUAGAUGACGUGUAAAUUAUUACUUAAGGAGAUGCAAAAUAUUAUAUUAAGGGUUUUCAUGCCCAGAACCGUCCUGGGGAGCGCAGUGAGAGGCAGAGUAGAGUAUUCCAUGUCUCUGGAAACUGCCGUUUUAGAUCUCUGCUUUAUCAGAGCUGCCAGAGCUUUUACUUUCCCGGGAAAGAGCCUACUUUCAGACCCCCUGAACUGGAUGGGGACAGAGCAUUGACUUUGCCCAACCAUGAGGACCGAGGGGCUGUCCUUCCAUGGGGUUGCUAAGCGGGCAGGAUAUACAUUUCUAGCUCCCCUCAUAAUGGGAGGCCUGCCUGGGAUAAGGCCGAGAUGGAGAGAUGAAGAGGGAGACCCUGGAUCAAGCCAUGCCUGAAGCCAUCUACUCAGAUAGGUGUUAUAUGAACCUCCCUUCCCACCAGUAACCCCGUCCCUGCCCCCUCAUCUUUUCCUUUAGAAGGUGAUUUUUAGCCAAAAGCAUCUUGGCCACCACUGUUAUGGAGUAAGUAGUAUGUGGACCUGCUCAUCCAACCACUCAUAGGCGACCAUUGUGCCAGGCCCUGAAAUAGGUGUCAGCGACACAAGGACAAAUCAUAUCCUCAGCACCUUGGUCGGCCGAGGGGGCAGAUGUGAGAUGAAUCCACACUGCCUCGUGUUGAGUAUUAGUGGAGGGGAGGAGGGGAGAGAGGACCCGAAUCCGAGAGGGCUUCCCUGAGGAGGCGACAUGUACCUCAAACUGGAGGGAGAGAUGGGGUUUUGCUAGAGAGAGAAGAAGACUGGUGGGCACAGAGCAAGCAGCUGACCAAGUACAGAGUGUGUGAAGAAACCACAGGCCAGGGGCUGGCAGCCGGCGUUCCCUGAGCCGGGAAGGGAGGGGAGACAGCUCUAGCCUCUGCCCGGCUCCUGCGGGGGCCCCGGGGCCAGCCCUCCGACUCCGUCCCUGCCUGCAGCGUUGUCAGGAAGAGACUGAGGGAAGCCUGGGGAGACACACACGGCUGGGAGAGGGAGGGAUGUGGCCACUUUCUUUCCAGCUCCUCACAGUAAAGAAAUGACUUCCCUCCUGCACAAGUUGGACUUCCUCUGCAGCUGGAAAGAAGAUAUUAAUGCUGUGUCUGACGAUGUGUCGCCUGGCGGGACAGGGCCCCAGCAGCCAGGUGAGCUCACGGCUGACCUGCUGCCCUCCUUCGCGCCGCGACUGUCCCCCUGGCCCGGGUGCCCCCACGUCCAGGCCGAGAGAAACUUGGCUCCACUGUGACUCUCUAAAUAAGUGGUUUUUAUUUCAUGUUCACCAGGGAGGUUACAAAAUAUAAUUGGGGUUGCUGCUCCACAUAUUAUUUCUGCAAUGUUCCCCCAUCUCCCUUCCCAAAAGCCACUCACAAAGGGGUCUUUGUUCUCUGUAAGUUCAAAGUCAGCUUCUCCAACGGGAAACGGAUUGGCGAUUACAAGGAGGAGACUGAGUUUUACUGGCUGUCCGACCAGAAAUAUGGGACGCAUCAGGGUUCCGGCAGGAGCCAGGGCGAGUGCGGUUUGCAGGCCACAGAAGCCAGUGUGAAUGGAUUUCCAGUGUGAGCCGAAGGCGGGCCUUGGGGGGGCAGCCCACAUCGGCUCUCUCCCGGGGGGCCACGGUCCACACUCGGCCUCCACUGCCUGGCUUGCUCCACCCAUAGCGUGGGGUCCUCAUACCCUGGACUAGAAGUAAUCAGAGG